ACACCCUGGCGCACGCGGGCCCCUAGCCGCAGACAAUACGCCUCGCGGCUCGAGCUCUGUGGACGCCGCCGCCGUCACCACCCGCCGCCACUGCCACCACCGGACGCGAGGUGAGCCCUCCCGCCCCUGCUGUGACCCUCGCUCCCUGCCGGCCACCCCUCCGCCCAGCCCGAGCCCGGCAGAGAAGAAAUGUAUCAAGCAAGACCCCUCUCUAGGAACCUCUUUUUGUACACCUUCCUACAAAACCAUGGCCCAGGCUUCCUGGACGACCAAGACUCAGGGCUUCCUGGUGUGACCAGUAUCUUGGAGUUCCACCCCAUCUCCCCCUACAGUGACAGUCCACACUACCUGGCCAUGCAGCUGGCCUCCAUUGCCGAUGAGAUGGAGCUGAGGUUGCUGCUGCCCCAGUUCGUUGAGCCCUUCUGGAUGACCAUGUACAGCUUGUUUUUCCCCUACAGCCACGUAGGGCUCAGGGAUGUUCUGAGAAGCUUUAUGGCUGCUUUCACCAACCUUAGGGAGAACCGAAGGCUCUGGAGCUUCCUGACUCUCAGGGACCGGGUGUCGCCCAGCCUGUGGCCCGAGCUGGCGCUGUCCCUGCUGGUGGUGGCGAUGCUCAGCUGGGGGUGCCGCCCCCACUGACCGAACUGCUGGUCAGUGUGGGGGUGGGGCUGGCCCCUCCCUCUCGACCACCACCCUGGCGGUGGCCCUGUUUUGGUGGUGUUGUCUUUUAACUGUUUUCUGAUGAUGCUUUUUUUUUUUUUUUUUAAUUUAAACUCUGAGUGCUGGGACACUGAGGUUCAUACUAUUUUUUUCCUUUUUUUUUUUUUUUGUAAGAGAAAUGAAUUUAUUAUACCUCUGGGGUCGUUACUGGUUAAUGACCUGCUCUCCCGGUGCCAGCCUGCUCUGCGGUGGCCUGUCCUGGGACGGAGCCUCCCUCUCAUGGGUUGGUCGAACAGGGGGCGGCGGGGGGAGUGCUGGUCACACCCCCGUGUCUGGGAUGCCCGUGGCACAGAGAAUCUGCUGGAAUAGAUUUCUGUGGGGCGAGGAGAGCUCAAUAAAAUGUUGGUUUCCAGCCAGUCUCUGGUCCUCUCUGGGGGUCGGUGGGCUGCAUCCUGCCGGAGGGGUGUGGGGAAGGCAGGGCGUGCCCGGGUCACCAGGGCACCUGCGGCCCCACCCGGCUCCCAGCUCCUUCCUGCACCUUCCACGGCUGGCGUGCUGUUUGGCCUGCACGAGCUGGAUCACUCCCUCAUCACGUCUCGGUGCUUGAAGCCUGCUGUUCGGGAUACCUUCCUCUGGGCUGUCAGUGCCUCUUACAAUUGGGCCAUCUGCCCUCCUUGUGUCCGCUCAUCCAGGGCUACCUGCUGGGGAUCGUCAUGUCCACGGGGUGCAGAGAAGCUGCUGGGCAGGGGCGCCGGGGCAGGAAGCCAGGCUCCCACCCUGCGGGCUCAGCCCACCCCAGACCUGACCCAGGGCAGCUUCUAAACCCUGAGAGGGGGCCCUCUUUCCUCUGGUGCUGUCUCUCCACACCACCUCGUGCCAGCCCUGGGCUGGGGUGAGCCACCUUCCAGCUUCCCCACCCCCGUUCCAUUCCCCGGCCCUCAGCAUCUUUUGCAGUCUCAUCCUCCACCCCCGCCAGGACUCAGGGAUGGUGAGUCUUUGC
ensembl:lncRNA